rnacentral:rRNA from 1 species
UACGGGGGGGGCAAGCGUUGUUCGGAAUUACUGGGCGUAAAGGGCUCGUAGGCGGCCCACUAAGUCCGACGUGAAAUCCCCAGGCUUAACUUGGGAACUGCGUCGGAUACUGGUGGGCUUGAAUCCGGGAGAGGGAUGCGGAAUUCCAGGUGUAGCGGUGAAAUGCGUAGAUAUCUGGAAGAACACCAGUGGCGAAGGCGACUUACUGGACACAUAUUGACGCUGAGGUGCGAAAGCGUGGGGAGCAAACAGG